UGGGUAAUAUUGCACAAUGGGCGCAAGCCUGAUGCAGCCAUGCCGCGUGUAUGAAGAAGGCCUUCGGGUUGUAAAGUACUUUCAGCGGGGAGGAAGGGAGUAAAGUUAAUACCUUUACUCAUUGACGUUACCCGCAGAAGAAGCACCGGCUAACUCCGUGCCAGCAGCCGCGGUAAUACGGAGGGUGCAAGCAUUAAUCGGAAUUACUGGGCGUAAAGCGCACGCAGGCGGUCUGUCACGUCGGAUGUGAAAUCCCCGGGCUCAACCUGGGAACUGCAUUCGAAACUGGCAGGCUAGAGUCUUGUAGAGGGGGGUAGAAUUCCAGGUGUAGCGGUGAAAUGCGUAGAGAUCUGGAGGAAUACCGGUGGCGAAGGCGGCCCCCUGGACAAAGACUGACGCUCAGGUGCGAAAGCGUGGGGAGCAAACAGG
rnacentral:rRNA from 1 species